UCAAAGCUCCCGAUUGUGAAGCUUCUGAGUUGUCGUGUGUCAAACUGCCAAGUAUUUUGAACCUGCUUGAUUUUUAUCCGCAAAGACUCCAAUAAAUCGAGUUGUGACAAUAGUUGUUUUUGGUAAUGGCCUUACAUCUUUUUUUGUUAAAAAGAAAUAAAUUAAAUAUUAAUUUUUUCAGUAAAAAUUACCAUUCAAAUUAUUUUACACAUUGAGAAAUUUUUAUUGAAAGGUUGGCUUCUAUCAAAUUAAAAAAUUCCAUCAAUUUUUUUGUGUGAAAAAAAAAAUGGUGAGCAGGGAAAUUUUUUGAUAACAAAAGUCCCAAAAGUCUUGUAUUUGACCCUCAUAUAAGCGAACAAAUGGAGGUAGCAAAUUACAGGUUGUACAAGAUCAAAAAUAUUUUGCUAACUUUCCAAGACAUCCUCUGUGAGCUCAUGAAGUCAAAUAUUCACUGAGUUCUAGUGAUUUUUAGACAAUUUAUUCAAGUAAUUCUCAGGGAAAUUUUACACCUUUUUUUAAGAGAGGAACUACCAAGUUCACCAGCAUUAAGUUCCACCAAAGUGAAAUGUCAACGAGCCAGUGUCAUGGUCUACACAAAAAAGUCUGAAAAUUCCUCAGGGGCUCCCUUUGCAAAUUUGUUGCCUAAAAAUCACUGUGCUGAAAUCAGCAAAUUUUUGAUUGAACAAGCCCAACAAAGUUGUGUUAGAACGCUGAUGAAAAGCUCUUUAAACUUGUACAGCUCACAUUAUCUUAAAUUUAUUUUUUCACUCAUUUGAAGGUCUGGUCACAAUAAUUUUUGGACACCCAUUGUAAUAUUAGUUGGAUUUAUUUAAUUUAAUGUAGGAUUUCAAUAGAUAUAAUUUCAUUUAAAAUCAGUUUGAAGGUAAAUUUUCCCAAGUGGAUUUGGUCAAAGUUUUUCUGCAUUUUCUUCAGAAUUAAAGCUACGAAAAUUAAAAUUUCUUUUUAUGCAAUGUUUUUAGAUAUUCACAAAGUUCAUCGAUGUGUAUCCACUAUUGAGUUACUUACCAGAGUGUAACUGUUAAUUUUAUGAAGACCCUCAGAUCUGUUUCGAUGGGUCUUAAACUGUUGUGAGAAUACAAAAUUUGUCAGUAAAAACUCACCUGAAGGUAAAACAAUUGACUAUAAAUUGAAGCUGCAAGUAAAAAUGAUCAGCUGACCAAUCUAUAAUCACUUCAGUUUACUUAAAUGUGAAGAAAGUACCUACCUUUUAAAACAUUUAGGUAUUACUUUAAUCAUAAGGUAUUACCAAUUACCUGAUUUAUUUUUCUAUGUACUAUCAUGUUUAUUAACUUAUUUUUAAUAUCGUCAAAAGUAUAAUUCAAUGGCUUUUUUAUCAGUCUCUUUUUUCUUUUUUCGUUUUUGGACUUUGAUUAUUUGAGAUUGUUACAAAUAUACUGAAAUUUAGUGCUUUCAUAAAUUGUUUAAAAUUUUUAGAAAAAAUUUCUUCCCAACCGCUUCUAUCUAGAUUAUUCUAUUUUUGCGAGUAAACCAUGAAAAUUCCGAAUAAUAUUUGUGGGCACAAUAAUAAUGGUAUUUGGCACAUAAAUUUUCCAUCCUGGAUGUUUCAUGCAUCUGUAAGUCGGUUUUUGCAGCAUCGUAUGAAAAGAUAAUGUCAAUAAGUAACUUAUCUGUGAAAUUUCGUGUCAUUUUCUCUUAAAUUAAACUACCUAUCAGAAAAUAUUUUCUAAAGUUUUCAUGUGAAAGUAUUAUAUAGUCUGUUUUUUGCGGGGGAAAAAUUAAGUGAGAGCAAAAAUUUUAAACCAUAGAAAUUGAGAUUUUGAUUGUAAAACUACCAAACCACGGACCUCUAAUUCGGUGUUUGAUAAUUUCCACUCAUAUAGAAUACUUACUACCAGCCUGUUUUUCGGAAAUUUUUAGCGAUUCAAUGUGGAACAAAUGAAUACUUAAAGUUCAAUCAAUUUUUUCAAAUUAAAUAAAAUCAGUGCAAAAUUUGCAGGAAUAAAAUGUGACAGGAGAUUUGCAAUGCUACUAACUAAGAUAGAGGCUAUGGGUGCUUUCAACAUCAAUAUGUGUUCCUCUCCUUCCACCUUGGAUCUACUUAUCUCCAUAAAUGACGAUCAGCCGUACCUAAUGUAUCCCUUUCGAUGGCUAUUUUAAGAAAUCUCCUUGUUAGGCACAAGGGAACUUCUUAAAAUUGGAAAGUAAAAAUCAAAAUUGAAAAAUAUCACAGAUAGAGGUACCCAGGUAAACUAAUAUAAAAUGAACAAUAGGUAAACUAAGUAAUGGUAUGGAGGUUGCUUAUUAAAUACUGUGGGUAAGUUCUAAAAUUUGAAAAUCACCAGUUGUAUAAUCAACACGGAGCAUUCCUGUCAAAUUUCAUCCGCUACUUUAUCAUUAAGUAUACAAUUCCAGAUCCUUCUAGCAACGAAAAAUGAAAAUUUUGUACCCCGAGGUUCU
rnacentral:lncRNA from 1 species